rnacentral:rRNA from 1 species
CCUACGGGUGGCAGCAGUGAGGAAUAUUGGUCAAUGGACGAGAGUCUGAACCAGCCAAGUAGCGUGAAGGAUGACUGCCCUAUGGGUUGUAAACUUCUUUUAUAUGGGAAUAAAACGUUCCACGUGUGGGCUUUUGUAUGUACCAUAUGAAUAAGGCUCGGCGAACUCCGUGCCAGCAGCCGCGGUAAUACGGAGGAUCCGAGCGUUAUCCGGAUUUAUUGGGUUUAAAGGGAGCGUAGGUGGAUUGUUAAGUCAGUUGUGAAAGUUUGCGGCUCAACCGUAAAAUUGCAGUUGAAACUGGCAGUCUUGAGGACAGUAGAGGUGGGCGGAAUUCGUGGUGUAGCGGUGAAAUGCUUAGAUAUCACGAAGAACUCCGAUUGCGAAGGCAGCUCACUGGACUGCAACUGACACUGAGGCUCGAAAGUGUGGGUAUCAAACAGGAUUAGAUACCCUGGUAGUC